UAGGGUUAGGGUUAGCUUAGUAUUUUAAGCUAUGAUUUUUAUUGUCUACUCUCUGACUACUUCAUGCCUCGUGCUUCACUUAUUAUUCACACUUAACUGCUGAGCAUUCCUGUUCACUGCAAGUUGCUUCCUGCUUCCAUACCUUGCUUACUGAUUUCCUUUGCCUGGAACACAUAAUUGAAACUUAACUUGCCUUUGCAGACCUCCACUAAGGCUCCGUCUGUCAGAAGACUUCCCUGAAAGCCAUGGGUAGCUUCAUUGGUCCACUGUGGUCCUAAAGUACCCUUACAGUUAGUGCCUUGUCUUAGGACUCUUCGCAUCAAAUUGAAAUAAUAUAAGAAAAAGAAGGCUUAAUAAAACGGAAUGAAAUGGGGUCAUUUGUAGAGACAUGGAUAGACCUAGAGACUGUCAUAUGGAGUGAAGAAAAAGACAGAAUAUCUUCUUAAUCUCGGGUGACCUCAGCCUGCAGCGGCUCGAAGCAGGAUUUCAGUUCCCAGCCAGAGAUUGAAGUCGGGCAGCAGCAGUGAGAGUGCUGAAUCCUAGCCACUAGACCACCAUUCACCAGUGAUAUAGUUUGAAUGGAAACUCACACAUGAAAAAAACCUUGCGAUAAACUCAUGGACACACAAUACUCUUUCCAUGGACUACUAGAAAAAUGAAGUCCUCCACUGGGGAGACAUGCCCUACAGCUCUACUCCUGCCAUUGCCUAAUGAACUCAUGAACGAAGUGGCCAUGGUGGCAGAGAUGGAGGUUAUGCGUGGGCUCAGCAACAUGGACUUACACUCACCCAGGCUGACCUCAGCCCCUGCUGAGUGCCCCAUCUGUCAGCACCAGAAACUACUGAGUCUCUGAUAGGCACCAUCCCCAGGGUCAUCAGCCAGCUGUCUGGUGUCAGGUUGAUUAUAUUGGACUGCUUUCAUCAUGGAAGGGGCAGUGCUUUAUUCUUAAUGGAAUAGACUUUGGGUAUGGAUUUUUCUUCUCUGCACAAAAUGCUUCUAGCAAAACUAUCAUCCAGAGGCUUACAGGAUCCCUUAUCCACCAUCACGGUUUUGUGUGCAGCCUUGCUUCUGAUCAAGGAACUCACUUCCUUGCAAAUAAAGUGUGGCAAUGGGCCCAUGCCUGGAAUUCACUGGUCUAACCAUGUUCUUCAUCAUCCUGAAGCAACUGGUUUGCCAGAAUGGUGGAAUGGCCUUUUGAAGAUGCAAUUAUAGCACCAGCUAAGUGGCAAUUCAGCCGGCCUUCCAUAUCCAUUGGUUCAACAUUCAUGGGUUCAAUGAGCUGUGGAUAAAAGAUAUUCAAAAAAAAUUCCAAAAAGUUCCAAAAAGCAAAACUUGAAUUUUCCAUGCCAGAAACUAUUUACAUAACAUUUGGAUUGUAUUUACAACUAUUUUCAUAGUAUUUACAUUGUAGUAGGUAUUAUAAGUAAUUUAGAGAUGAUUUAAAAUAUACAAGAGGAUUUGUGUAGGUUACAUUCAAAUACUAUGCCAUUUUACAUAAGGAACUUGAGCAACUGUGGAUUUUGAUAUCUGCAGGGGUCAUGGAACCAAUCCUGUGCAGAUACCAAGGGACAAGUGUAACUUGCAGGACUAAGCAAAGCCCUCCAGGAGGCUGUAUGUGCUCUAAGUCAGCAUUCAAUAUAUGGUGCUGGUUCUCCCUUAGCCAAUAUUCAUAAACCCAGGAAUGGAAAUGGGAAUGGCUCCUCUCACUAUUACCUCUGGUGAUACACUAGCAAAGUGUUUGCUUUGCAUCCCUGUCACUUAAGGCUCUGUUGGUCUAGAGGCCCUAGUUCCAAAGAGAGGAAUGCUUUCACCAGGGAACCCAACAACAAUUCCUCAGAAUUGGAAGUUGAGACUGUUGCCUGGCCACUCUGGGUGCCUCCUGCCACUGAAUAAGCAGGCAGGCAACGGGGGUGGUUUACUCUGGCUGGGGUGAUUAGUCCUGAUCACCAAGGGGAAAUUGGGUUGCUACUACCAUACAAUGUGGGUAAGGAGGAGAGUGUCUGGAAUACAGCAGAUCCUCUAAAGUACCUCUUGGUGCUCCCACAUCCUAUGAUUAAAGUUAGUGGAAAACUACAACAGCUUAAUUCAGACAGGGCUCUAAUAGCCCAGACCCUUUAGGAAUGAAGUUUUGGGUCACUCCACCAGGUAAAGAACCAAAAGAAAUGAGGUGCUUGUUGAGGACAAAGGAAAUAGUUUUAACUAUCCACUAUGACCACAUGACCAUUGCAGAAAUGAGGACUAUAUGACUUAUGAGUAUUUCUUCCUUAUUUUAAUAUUUUUAUUUAAUAGUUUAAUUAUAUAUAUAAUGUAAUAAUUUAAUACUUUCAUUUCUUUUCCUCUGACACCCCCUUAUCAUCUAACAUAAGACCUGUUAAUAAUUGUUAACUUUAUAUCAUAUUUGAGUUACAUGACACAAAACAGGAAGUAUGUAUCAACAGGGGAAAGAAUGAAAAUCAACCAAAGACACUAAAGAAACUCCGUCCUCUCCUGGGAAAAGGAGUGGCAUGUUUUCAGUUUUAUGUAGCAUAGUCUUUAUUCGGCAAUUAAGUAUGGUUCAAGGAGAUGUGCUUGAGUUCAAAGUCAACAAGAAUGGACUGUGGUAGCUUUGUAGUGUGUCAGUUAGGCUAAGUUCAACUACAUUUCCCAGAAUCCAUUCUCUUGUUUCUGGUCAGGUUGGGCCACAAGUAUAUUCCACAUCAAUUGUAUCAGUUGUCUACCGUUGUAACUCAAUCCUUAAUGUACCUAUGGUUGGCAGAAAAAUGGAGACCCAAGGAUGUCCAUAUUCUAAUUCUUGGAAUCUGUAACAUGUUAUAUUACAUAGCAAAGGAGAAUUAAGGCUGCAGAUAGAAUUAAGUUGCUAAUCAGGUGACCUGAAAAUAGGGAGAUUAGCCUAGAUUAUCAGGGUGGGUUUGAUGUUAUCACAAGGGUUCUUAAAAGUGAAAGUCGGAGGCAGAAGAUGAAUCACUGUCAGGGUGAUUUGAUAUGAGAAAAACUUGACCAGACAUUGCUGGCUUUGAAGGUAGAGGGGACCAUGAGUCAAGGAAUGUGGGUGACCUCUAGAAACUGGAAAAGGCUAGAAUAUGGAUUAUCCUCUAGAGCCUCCAGGAGGGAACUCAGCCCUGUUGACACCCUGAUUAUAGCCCAGUGAGACCCAUGUUGGAUUUCUGAACUGCAGACCCAUGAGAAAAUAAUAGUGCUGUUUCAAGCCACUAAAUUUGUGGAACUUUGUUACAGCAGCAAUAGGAACCUAAUACAGUAUACUUUAUUGAUAGUCCUCCAUUCCGUGCCUCACUAUUCAGAUAAACUAAUUGUACCCAAAUCCUUGUCUCAGGUCUGCUUUCAGGAAAUCUAAACUAAGACACUCCCCCUCCUCAACGAAUUCUACUAAAAUGACCAAGGAUAUGUAAAAAUAGGAUGUAAUCUGUAUAAUGAUUGGGAAAUAGGAUAGGUAUUAUUAGUAACAGGCCAAAAAUGCAUUGUGCAAAUUGGCUCAGAUUGAGGCAAGUAUAAAUACCACAAAUACCACACAUUUCAACAAAAUUGACUAGCAAGUAAAAGAAGUAAGCAAUUACUAUUACUCCACAGAACCAGGAAAAUCUCCUCCUCUGAGAAGGAGAGGAUAUAAAAAAGGGGCUUCCAGGAUAAAGUAGGUGUGAUGAAAGUCAAAGUACACAAGGAUUCGUUCGAAAAUUCUUCAGAAAGAUCAGCGAAAUAUAGCAUUCAUUCUCAGCUUUCUCUUGGUGCAAACAAAAGAAAGUAAAAAUGCUAUUAUAUGUAUUUUUUAUGUAUUCUUAUAUGGAUGAAUCUCUCAGAAGGAGAAGGUUGGGCUCCUACAACCUACCCACAAAAAUUAGAACAAAAUAAUUCAGAGAAGAAACAGUUCCUUUUGUUUUAAGUUGACUUCUUACUAAUGGUAUUAGGGUUCUCCAGAGAAAACAGAAGCAACAGGAUAUGUAUGUAUGUAAGUAUAUGUGUGUAUAUAUUCAUACACACACACACACACACACACACACACAUAUAUAUAUAUAUAUAUAGAGAGAGAGAGAGAGAGAGAGAGAGAGAGAGAGAUUUUAUGGAAUUGAGUCACAUGAUUGUGGAGACCUGGUAAGUCCAAAAUCUUCUGGGUAGGCCAGCAGGCUGGAGACCCAGGAAAGAGUUGCAGUUUGAGUCCAAAGGCCAUCAGCUGGCAGAAUUCCCUCUUGCUUAGGGGAAGUCAGUCUUCCGUUCCACGAAGGCUUUAACUGAUUGGAUAAGGCCCACCCAUAUUAUGGAAGGCAGCCUGCUUUACUCAAAAUCCAUCAAUUUAAAUGUUAAUCUCAUCCCAAAACACCUUUACAGAAACAUCCAGAAUAAUGUUUGACCAAAUAUCUGGACACCAUGGCCCAGCCAAGCUGACACAUAAAAUUAACCAUCACAGCAGUUCCCAAGCUGCUUCCUGCGAAGGAAGUUCUUCCAGGGAAAAUGGAGUCUGUCCUGACAAAAGACAACCACGUUCCCAGCGUGAAUGAGCUAAACUGUGGAGGAGGCUACUUGAAACCAAUUAAAUCCUACAAAGGCUGUUUGAGCUGAAUCCAUCAGGACUCACACAUGCAGCCACUGAAAGGAGGCUGACCUUUACAGAUGGCUUCCAGGGGCUUCUCAUUGGGUUGUCUAGGAGAGGCACUGGCAGGAGAUGGCAAUGUGGGAGGAGAGGAAGGCCCAGAUAUCCAUCCCUCCAGCUGGCCAUUAGUUAGCAGUGGCCUCUCCUAGAGACACUGACCCAGCUGUGCUCCACAGCUCUUUCUAAGUCCUGGAAACCACUCCUUCCCUCUACCUUUUCAGCCCCAGGGGUGAUAAUGAAUCCCCAGCUGUUUUACUCUAAGUGCUUCAUCAUCCUUUUGGUUUUCUUUAACCCUUUCUAUACCUUUGUAACUCAUUAAACUCUGCUCAGUUACUUUAUUUGAGAAUCCCAUCAUUUUUAUGCUACUGGGAUCCUGACUGAUAUAAGCACUAAUUAAAAAAAAAAUAGCAAGAAUAGAGGAAAAACUUGAGGCUUUAGACCAGAGUGGCCCAUCUAGUUGAAGAAGAUAAUGAGAUUCUUGUUCUGAAAUGAAAAAAAAAAUUCCCUAGGAUAGAGGAAAGGGCAGAAAAAUAAGUUGAUAAAGUAAUUUUAAAAAGUCAGGCUGGGGCUUCCCUGGUGGCGCAGUGGUUGAGAGUCCGCCUGCCGAUGCAGGGGACGCGGGUUCAUGCCCCGGUCCGGGAAGAUCCCACAUGCCGCAGAGCGGCUGGGCCCGUGAGCCAUGGCCGCUGAGCCUGCGCGUCCGGAGCCUGUGCUCUGCAACGGGAGAGGCCACAACAGUGAGGGGCCCGCGUACCAAAAAAAAAAAAAAAAAAAAAAGUCAGGCUGGUAUCAGAUCUUUCUUCUGUAAUACUAAUUUUCAGAAGACACUGAAGCAGCAUCAAAAAAAUUUUGAGAGCCUGCCUAAGCUACAGUUCAUGGAACAGAAAGUCAUUUACAAACAUGCAAGAACUUAGAAAGUGUACCAUCCACAAAUAGCUCUGAGCAAUGUUUUCAGAAAAAAGAUAAAGUCCAACAAACCAAAAAGCAAAUCACAAUAUAUAAUUCCAAUUGAGGGAAAUGUGAUUUAAAAGCAAUUGUAGUUACUACUGAGAUCAGUAAUAUUUAUGUUCAAUGUUGAAAUAAUCGUUAACAUGGUUGUGAAAUGUAACAAAUGUCAACCAAUUUUGGAAAGACAAGAUAUACAAUUAUAGAAUAAAUUAACCUAGUUCUAAUAUCACAGAUUAUUCCAACAAAAAUGGCAAAGGAAGGGAUAAAACUAAAAUGCACUAGUAUUUCUUUAUUUUUUCUGUUUAAAUGAAAAAAAAUUGAGUCCAUUAUUUUUUAGUUGUUUCAAAGGAAAAGUAUAUUUUAACAUGUAAUUACAAAAAAAGUUAAAUAAAACUUCUAAAUCACUAAUGAUAAGAACGACCAAGUUAUAGUAAAAAAAAUCUGAAAGAACAUGCAGUAAAAUAUUGACAAUGCUUACUCCUGAAUUGUGAGAUCUUGGAGAUUUUUAUUUUUUGCUCAUCUAUAUUUCUAUUUUUCUAUAACGCACAUACAUCUACUAGUGUAGAAACAAACCCUUAUACAAAUGUCCAUAUCUUACAAAAUGAAAUUAAACUCUAAUGCUUUUAAUUUCUUGAAAUUUGUUUAUCUCCUGUUUUUUUUCUCAGAAGUAUUUGACAUAUAGACACUACUAUAUAAAAAACAGAUCACCAACAAGGACCUACUGUAUAGCACAGGGAACUAUACUCAAUACUCAAUAUUUUGCAGUAACCUAUAAGGGAAGAGAAUCUGAAGAAUUAUAUAUAUAUGUAUAUAUAUAUGUGUGUGUGUGUGUGUGUCUGAAUCACUGUUGUACACCUGAAACUAACAUGAUAUUGUAAGUCAACUAUACUUCAAUGAAAAAAAUGCAAACAAACAAAAAAAGUAUUUCAGGCAGUUAACAAAUGGACUUAACAUGUGAGUAAGACAGAUAAUGGGUCUGGAUCAAAUUGGGCAAUUUUUUUUUUGUACAUUCCUGGGAACUUAACAGCAAGAAGGAAUCCCAAGCAUAAGUAAACAUACUAACUAAUAGAAUCAUUUCAAAAUGUAUGAAAAUGUCCUAGAAAUAACUAAAGUCAACAAAAUGUUUUUUAAUAAUCAAUAACCCCAAGUGCUAUUUAACUUCUGAGAGACCUUAGUAGUGUACAUCUUUUGAGUUUUCUACUCAACUCUCCCUUUUCUAAGAGAUUCUGUCCCCUCAUACACAUGGUGGCAGUGGGCGUGGCCACAUGCCAUGUUGUUGCAGGGGUUACCUGAACCUAGCUGGGAUUCUAGACAUGGGUCUGAGAGACCCAGACCACCCUCUCUAGUGGCUUUACCUAUUAAAAACACACUAUUGGGACUGUUGGUGGCCAUGUUCCUCUUGUGGAUUGUGCAGCUGAGGGAGCUGGUUUGCAGAGAUAGAAAAGAACGAAGAGAGGCAGAGCAGAGGUGAAGAUAAUUGAUGAUACACUAGCUUCUUGCUCCAGUUUUUGCCUGCACUCCAGCCAUGUUCUUGUCCUUGGGAUCUCAGAGCCACCUCAGUAUCCUGAGGUAGUAUCCUGCAGUAGUUCAGAUCAUGAGCUGUGACAUUAGAUUGCCUGGAUUUGAAGCUUCGUUACUAGCUAUUGGGACCAUUUGCAAGUUCCACUAUCACUUUAAGCCUUGGUUUCUUCAUCUCUAAAAGGGAGAUAUUAGGCCCUAUUUUAUAGGAUCAUGGUGUUAUAUGAAUUAAUACAUUUUAAAUGUUUGAUAUAAAAUAAGUGCUGAAUAUUAACUGUUUAUUAUAUUAAGGGCUAUAUUAAUAAAUUAUAUUAAUAAAUUAUACAAUAUUAUAUAAUAUUAUGAUAACUAUUAAUUAACUAUUUAUAUCCUUAUAAUAAAUUUAUUUUUCUGCUUAAAUAUUUACUAUCAAAGGCCCAUCCAGAUCUGCAAUUCCUUUUGGGAAGAAUGAUUUCAAAACUUUGGGCUGGUGAUGGUGGGGAGGUGGAAGAAGAAGAAGCAUAGUAAAUAGUUAAGAGUAUGAGCUUCUUGGUCAGUGAGCACAGUAUUUAGGUCCUAUUUUUGCCUUUUACUAGUCAUGGGACCUUAGGAAAAUUACUGAGCAUUAAAUUCCUUAUUCGUAAAAUUUGUGUAAUACAUCUGGCUCAUAGAGAAGUUGUAAAAAUUUUUCAAUGAGACUAUAUGCCAGGUAUCUGGCACAUAGGAAUACCAAAUAAAUAUUUUAUUAUUUUAGUUAUUAUUACUAACUCCACAUGCAGGUGACCAGCACAUCAAGCGGCUAAGUUAAAAUCAGAGAGAUAAGGGGUAUACAAAGACUCAUACUGUCAACUAAAAAAUAAUGCAGGAGGCUGCAAAUAAGAAAACAGUUUAUUUGGGGUUUUAAGAAUUGCAAUUCAGGGCUUCCCUGGUGGUGCAGUGGUUGAGAGUCCACGUACCGAUGCAGGGGACACGGGUUCAUGCCCCGGUCCGGGAAGAUCCCACAUGCCGCGGAGCGGCUGGGCCCGUGAGCCAUGGCCGCUGAGCCUGCACGUCCGGAGCCUGUGCUCCACAACGGGAGAGGCCACAACAGUGAGAGGCUGGCGUACCACAAAAAAAAAAAGAA